rnacentral:rRNA from 1 species
AUCAACGCUGGCGGCGUGCCUAACACAUGCAAGUCGAACGAGAAAGUCCCGGGGCAACGGGAUGAGUACAGUGGCGACCGGGUGAGUAACACGUGAUCAACCUGCCCUCUAAGUGGGGAAUAACCUCCGGGAAACCGGGAGCUAAUACCGCAUAACAUCGUGCGGUUCGCAAUAACUUGGAGCAAAGGAGCAAUUCGCUUUGAGGAGGGGUCGCGGCUGAUUAGGCUAGUUGGCAGGGGGGUAAUGGCCCUACCAAGCAGAUGAUCAGUAUCCGGCCUGAGAGGGCGCUACGGACACACUGGAACUGAAACACGGUCCAGACUCCUACGGGAGGCAGCAGUGGGGAAUUUUGCGCAAUGGGGGAAACCCUGACGCAGCAACGCCGCGUGGAGGAUGAAGGUCCUUUGGAUGUAAACUCCUUUCGACCCGGGACGAUCCUGACGGUACGGGUGGAAGAAGCACCGGCUAACUCUGUGCCAGCAGCCGCGGUAAUACAGAGGGUGCGAGCGUUGUUCGGAAUUAUUGGGCGUAAAGGGCGCGUAGGCGGUGCGGUAAGUCACCUGCGAAAUCUCCUGGCUCAACUGGGAGCUUGCAGGCGAAACUGCCGUGCUGGAGUGUGGGAGAGGUGCGUGGAAUUCCCGGUUGUAGCGGUGAAAAUGCGUAGAUAUCGGGAGGAACACCUGUGGCGAAAGCGGCGCACUGGACCACAACUGACGCUGAGGCGCGAAAGCUAGGGGAGCAAACAGGAUUAGAUACCCUGGUAGUCCUAGCCCUAAACUAUGGAUGCUUGCUGUGAUGGGUACCCAAUCCCAUCGUGGCGCAGCUAACGCGAUAAGCAUCCCGCCUGGGGAGUACGGUCGCAAGGCUGAAACUCAAAGGAAUUGACGGGGGCCCGCACAAGCGGUGGAGCAUGUGGUUCAAUUCGACGCAACGCGAAGAACCUUACCUGGGCUCGAAGCGCAGUGGAAAGAGGUGGAAACAUCUCUGCCCGCAAGGGCCGCUGCGGAGGUGCUGCAUGGCUGUCGUCAGCUCGUGUUGUGAGAUGUUGGGCUGAGUCCCGCAACGAGCGCAACCCUUAUCGUUAGUUGCCAUCGGGUCAAGCCGGGCACUCUAGCGAAACCGCCUCGGAUAACGGGGAGGAAGGUGGGGAUGACGUCAAGUCCUCAUGGCCUUUAUGUCCAGGGCUACACACGUGCUACAAUGCGCGGUACAAAGCGUCGCAAACCCGCGAGGGGGAGCUAAUCGCAAAAAGCCGUGCUCAGUUCGGAUUGGAGUCUGCAACUCGACUCCAUGAAGCUGGAAUCGCUAGUAAUCGCGGAUCAGAACGCCGCGGUGAAUACGUUCCCGGGCCUUGUACACACCGCCCGUCACAUCACGAAAGUGGACUGCACUAGAAGCCGGCGUGCCAACCGCAAGGGGGCAGCCGUCCAAGGUAUGGUUCAUGAUUGGGGUG